CAGCAGCCACGGUAAUACGGAGGGUGCAAGCGUUAUCCGGAUUUAUUGGGUUUAAAGGGUCCGUAGGCGGAUCUGUAAGUCAGUGGUGAAAUCUCACAGCUUAACUGUGAAACUGCCAUUGAUACUGCAGGUCUUGAGUAAAUUUGAAGUGGCUGGAAUAAGUAGUGUAGCGGUGAAAUGCAUAGAUAUUACUUAUAACACCAAUUGCGAAGGCAGGUCACUAAGAUUUAACUGACGCUGAUGGACGAAAGCGUGGGGAGCGAACAGGAUUAGAUACCCCAGUAGUCCCUGUCUCUUAUAC
rnacentral:rRNA from 1 species